rnacentral:tRNA from 1 species
AAAUCUUUAGUUUAAUUUAGAAUUUUUCAUUUACAAUGAAAGGGUUAAAGGAUUUU